GCGUGAGUGAGGAAGGUUUUCGGACCGUAAAGCUCUGUCGGCGGGAAGAAAUGCAUCAUGGCUAAUAUCCAUGAUGCUUGACGGUACCGCUAGAGGWAGACCGGCUAACUCCGUGCCAGCAGCCGCGGUAAUACGGGGGGUGCAAGCGUUGUUCGGAAUAUUGGGCGUAAAGAGCGUGUAGGCGGCUGGACAAGUCAGAUGUGAAAGCCCUGGGCUUACCCAGGAAGCGCAUYUGAAACUGUUCGGCUAGAGUAGGGGAGAGGAAAGUGGAAUGCC
rnacentral:rRNA from 1 species